rnacentral:rRNA from 1 species
GACGAACGCUGGCGGCGUGCCUAAUACAUGCAAGUCGAGCGGACUGAUGGGAGCUUGCUCCCUGAAGUCAGCGGCGGACGGGUGAGUAACACGUGGGUGACCUGCCUGUAAGACUGGGAUAACUCCGGGAAACCGGGGCUAAUACCGGAUAGUUCUUUUCCUCUCAUGAGGAAAAGUGGAAAGGUGGCUUUUAGCUACCACUUACAGAUGGACCCGCGGCGCAUUAGCUAGUUGGUGAGGUAACGGCUCACCAAGGCGACGAUGCGUAGCCGACCUGAGAGGGUGAUCGGCCACACUGGGACUGAGACACGGCCCAGACUCCUACGGGAGCAGCAGUA